rnacentral:rRNA from 1 species
AGUUUAAAGUAUAUAUUUUAAAUGAAUCCUGCCCAGUGUUUUUUAUAAAUGGCCGCAGUACCCUGACUGUGCAAAGGUAGCAUAAUCAAUUGGCUUUUAAUUGAAGUCUGGAAUGAAAGGAGACUUGGAAAAAAGCUGUCUUAAAAAUAAUUUUUUUAAUUUAAUAAUUAGGUGAAAAUACCUAUUCUUAGAAAAAAGACGAGAAGACCCUAAGAAUUUUUAUAAUAUUAUAUAUUUAAUAAUUUAUUUUUGUUGGGGCGACAAUUAAGCAAUUUUUAACCUUAAUUUUAAAAUUUAACGAUAUUGUUAUAAAAGAAUAAAUUACCUUAGGGAUAACAGCAUUAUUUUGUAAAGUUUGUGACCUCGAUGUUGGACUAGGAACUUUAUGGCUAGCAGUCUAAAAAGAUUUGUUCUGUUCGAACAGUUUUAUCCU